rnacentral:rRNA from 1 species
UACAGAGGUCUCAAGCGUUGUUCGGAUUCAUUGGGCGUAAAGGGCGCGUAGGUGGCCCGGUCAGUUCGUGGUGAAAGCGCGGGGGCUCAACCCUGCGUCGGCCAUGAAUACUGCCGCGGCUGGAGCACUGUAGAGGCAGGCGGAAUUCCGGGUGUAGCGGUGGAAUGCGUAGAGAUCCGGAAGAACACCGGUGGCGAAGGCGGCCGUGCUGGGCAGUUGGCUGACUGAGGCGCGACAGCGUGGGGAGCAAA